ensembl:lncRNA
CGACAGUGUGCGAGGACGUGUGAACGAGAGUGUGUUUUUUUCCCCUGCAGGGCCACCGUUUGAUGAGGGAUGAGUCAUCCGGAAGGAGACACCGAGGAAGACUGGCAGCUGGGAACUUCUGCAGGGCCCGGAGAGGAGUCAACCUUCAUCAGCAACAAAUCGAGUCUGAUCCUAACCACAACAAGAGAUGCGACACCGGAGCGACAGCAGGGCACCGCGCUCACGAGGCUGAGCUAAAAACUGCAAAACUUUACAUCAGACCUUUUUUUUUUAGAUGGGUUUGUCCAAGAAUAAAAAGAGAAUGUGCAGACUCUGAUCACAUGGCAGACCGCGAUGAUUUCCUCUGCACGGUAGCGAUCUCCUUUUUAUUUAUUCUGUCUGGCGAGCCAAGCGGCUACAUCAUAGCACUGCCUGCCGGGAUCCAGUCCUGAUAAAUUGGAGUGCUCUGGUACUCCCCCAUUAGGAGAGAGGGUUUCCUGUGGUCCUGUCCAUUAAUGCAUUAUUGAAGAGCUCGCUAGCAUAUCCAGAAGGAGACAUGUGAGGCAUGUGAGACGCCACACACCAGCGCUUCCUGUCUUCCAGUAAGGAGAAGCCGCGUGACCUGGCCAGCAGGAAACCAUGUGAUGCAGCAGUUCAGACCACCAGACCCAAAGAAUUACAGAGAGGCAACAGUGGAGAGCCAGUAAAUCAAAGACUGUAAAAUGUAUUUGGAUUGUUUUUCCCCUUGUUUUGGCUGAGGCGUUGGAAAACCAUCUGCCGAAUUUCGUUUUACAGGCCAGCGAGGACUCACUUUGCUCUGCGCCGUUUCCAGCGCGAUAACCAAGCGGUGGGAUGGAAACCACAGCGACUGGGCGAAGUUUGCACAAUGCUUGUUGUGUCUGAGUGGCACAGGAAGAUGCCGCGUCUCCCCUGAAUCUCAAUGCUGCAGCAGGGCUUUGAUUUCAGGGAACUUUCCUCAGGUGCCUUGCAGUGAGGAAAAUCCUGCCUUUUUUCAUCUGCGACAAAGUAACAGCGAUAAAGCGUUUGAUGUCGAGGCCAAGAACACACGGAUGAAGCGCUGCUGCACUUUGAAGCUCCUUGUUGUUCAGCCACACUUGAGAAUUCAUUUCAUGUCCUGAUAGUGCGUCACAUGAUGAGUCCAAGCAUGAAAGGCGAAGCAAGGCUGGGAAUCAAAAAAAAAAAGUCAUUUUUGCACCCCUGGUUGUGUGCCGCCUGUCACCAUAUGCUACGUGAUGCUUCAUCCUGCCCCGCACUCGCGGCUGCCGAGAGCAACCUCUCUGCAACAAGGACCAUAAAUAAAGUGCGCAGCAGCACGCUAGGUAGAGGCGCAGGAAGAAAGAAAGAGCGUGCCGAGAUCCCGGUGAAGCCCGUGCGCAAGCACAAUGGUUAGAGCUCAUGAAGAGCGGCAGGCAUUUCACACAUACACGCACCUGCACACACACACACACACACACACACACACACACACAUGCGCGUGCAUGCAAAGCUACACUGGGAGAGUGGGAAGAGCAAUGGAAAGUCUGAGUCAUGAGCACUCCACUUACCAUUCUGACCCUAAAUCAUUGUGGCAUUGAGUCACUGCAGGGCUUACUGAGUAUUCAUUUGUGUGUCUGCAUGUGUGAACGAGUUUGAAAUGCAAGACGGUGAAAAUGAAGACCUGCGUGGUUUCAUGUUGUCUGCGUGCACAGCGUGCUCCUGUUUGCAUGCAGCAGGUACAGAAUGUAUACAGUAGACAGGCUGUGGUUGAGGGUGUGCCACAAGAGGAAACUCCUUUUAUGAGUGGAAAAUGAACGUGUCCGUCCAUCUUACAGCAGUUAAAACGCAGUUCGGCCUCAAACUCGAGUUGAAAUGGCAACCGAAUCACAUCAUCUCUAAAGGGUUUGGAUAUUCCCGGGCACCAGGUCGAUUGUACAAAUACAGGCGCAUCGAGGCAGCAUUCUAAUGAGAGGGCGUCGUGACUGGCAGGAGCAGUCAGACAUGUUUGUGGUUGAUAAGCAGGAUGUUGAGAUGAAAACCAAUGUCAUUAUGCAUUGCCCAUGUUGUCUGGUGAGCCGCCGUCACUCAGCAUGCUGUACUGUUUGGAGCUCUUUGGAUGGAAUUACAAAGUUUGCGGCCGCUCUUCCAACCACCAGGAGAGGACUGUGCGGUCAC